CCUACGGGUGGCAGCAGUGAGGAAUAUUGGUCAAUGGGCGCGAGCCUGAACCAGCCAAGUCGCGUGAGGGAUGAAGUUUCUAUGGAUCGUAAACCUCUUUUAUAAGGGAAUAAUGUGUGGGACGUGUCCUAUUUUGUAUGUCCCUUAUGAAUAAGGCUCGGCUAACUCCGUGCCAGCCGCCGCGGUAAUACGGAGGAUCCGAGCGUUAUCCGGAUUUUUUGGGUUUAAAGGGUGCGUAGGCGGGCUUUUAAGUCAGCGGUGAAAGUCUGUGGCUCAACCAUAGCAGUGCCGUUGAAACUGGGGGGCUUGAGUGUGUUUGAGGCAGGCGGAAUGCGUGGUGUAGCGGUGAAAUGCUUAGAUAUCACGAAGAACCCCGAUUGCGAAGGCAG
rnacentral:rRNA from 1 species